rnacentral:rRNA from 1 species
AUUGAACGCUGGCGGCAGGCCUAACACAUGCAAGUCGAGCGGUAGCACAGAGAGCUUGCUCUCGGGUGACGAGCGGCGGACGGGUGAGGAAUGUCUGGGAAACUGCCUGAUGGAGGGAGAUAACUACUGGAAACGGUAGCUAAUACCGCAUAACGUCGCAAGACCAAAGUGGGGGACCUUCGGGCCUCAGUCCAACAGAUGUGCCCAGAUGGGAUUAGCUGGUAGGUGGGGUAACGGCUCACCUAGGCGACGAUCCCUAGCUGGUCUGAGAGGAAGACCUGCCACACUGGAACUGAGACACGGUCCAGACUCCUACGGGAGGCAGCAGUGGGGAAUAUUGCACAAUGGGCGCAAGCCUGAUGCAGCCAUGCCGCGUGUGUGAAGAAGGCCUUCGGGUUGUAAAGCACUUUCAGCGGGGAGGAAGGCGGUGAGGUUAAUAACCUCACCGAUUGACGUUACCCGCAGAAGAAGCACCGGCUAACUCCGUGCCAGCAGCCGCGGUAAUAC